rnacentral:rRNA from 1 species
GAUGAACGCUAGCGGCAGGCUUAAUACAUGCAAGUCGAGGGGCAGCGGGAGUAGCAAUACUUGCCGGCGACCGGCGCACGGGUGCGUAACACGUAUGUAAUCUGCCCAUCACAGGAGGAUAGCCCGGAGAAAUUCGGAUUAAUACUCCAUAAUAGAAGAUAAAGCAUUUUUAUUUUCUUGAAAGUUCCGACGGUGAUGGAUGAACAUGCGACUGAUUAGUUUGUUGGUGAGGUAACGGCUCACCAAGACUACGAUCAGUAGGGGUACUGAGAGGUUAAACCCCCACACUGGUACUGAGACACUGCCCAGACACCUACGGGUGGCUGCAGUCGAGAAUAUUCCCCAAUGGCCGAAAGGCUGAGGGAGCGACGCCGCGUGCAGGAAUAAGGCCU